UUAACUUAAAUUUAUAGUACUCAGACAGCAAAUUACAGCGAGUUUGGGGUCCUCUGGCAGGCACUGACCAGCAUAGCCGGUAGCCCAAAGACAGGCCUGCCAAAGCAACUAAAGUAUUGUAAACAAAGGGUGGGAGACAUACUCUGAAGAGAGUAUAUUAUCUCGGUAAUGAUCCUUCCGCAGCGGAAGUAUAGCUGCUACUGAUAGCAACCCCCCGAUCAACUCUCAACCCCAAAGGGGCCACCUCCAUUUGAUCUGUGAGCCUAUUCUUAGGCUGCUGGUAUUACCCACGGUAAAUUCCAGCACAGUAGAGAUGUUGCCUGCUGAGAGACUUUCUGUUUUGGCGAACCUGCAAUAAUAAUGUUCACCUACGGAAA
rnacentral:misc_RNA from 1 species